rnacentral:rRNA from 1 species
ACAUGCAAGUCGAGCGGACAGAUGGGAGCUUGCUCCCUGAUGUUAGCGGCGGACGGGUGAGUAACACGUGGGUAACCUGCCUGUAAGACUGGGAUAACUCCGGGAAACCGGGGCUAAUACCGGAUGGUUGUUUGAACCGCAUGGUUCAAACAUAAAAGGUGGCUUCGGCUACCACUUACAGAUGGACCCGCGGCGCAUUAGCUAGUUGGUGAGGUAACGGCUCACCAAGGCAACGAUGCGUAGCCGACCUGAGAGGGUGAUCGGCCACACUGGGACUGAGACACGGCCCAGACUCCUACGGGAGGCAGCAGUAGGGAAUCUUCCGCCAAUGGACGAAAGUCUGACGGAGCAACGCCGCGUGAGUGAUGAAGGUUUUCGGAUCGUAAAGCUCUGUUGUUAGGGAAGAACAAGUACCGUUCGAAUAGGGCGGUACCUUGACGGUACCUAACCAGAAAGCCACGGCUAACUACGUGCCAGCAGCCGCGGUAAUACGUAGGUGGCAAGCGUUGUCCGGAAUUAUUGGGCGUAAAGGGCUCGCAGGCGGUUUCUUAAGUCUGAUGUGAAAGCCCCCGGCUCAACCGGGGAGGGUCAUUGGAAACUGGGGAACUUGAGUGCAGAAGAGGAGAGUGGAAUUCCACGUGUAGCGGUGAAAUGCGUAGAGAUGUGGAGGAACACCAGUGGCGAAGGCGACUCUCUGGUCUGUAACUGACGCUGAGGAGCGAAAGCGUGGGGAGCGAACAGGAUUAGAUACCCUGGUAGUCCACGCCGUAAACGAUGAGUGCUAAGUGUUAGGGGGUUUCCGCCCCUUAGUGCUGCAGCUAACGCAUUAAGCACUCCGCCUGGGGAGUACGGUCGCAAGACUGAAACUCAAAGGAAUUGACGGGGGCCCGCACAAGCGGUGGAGCAUGUGGUUUAAUUUCGAAGCAACGCGAAGAACCUUACCAGGUCUUGACAUCCUCUGACAAUCCUAGAGAUAGGACGUCCCCUUCGGGGGCAGAGUGACAGGUGGUGCAUGGUUGUCGUCAGCUCGUGUCGUGAGAUGUUGGGUUAAGUCCCGCAACGAGCGCAACCCUUGAUCUUAGUUGCCAGCAUUCAGUUGGGCACUCUAAGGUGACUGCCGGUGACAAACCGGAGGAAGGUGGGGAUGACGUCAAAUCAUCAUGCCCCUUAUGACCUGGGCUACACACGUGCUACAAUGGACAGAACAAAGGGCAGCGAAACCGCGAGGUUAAGCCAAUCCCACAAAUCUGUUCUCAGUUCGGAUCGCAGUCUGCAACUCGACUGCGUGAAGCUGGAAUCGCUAGUAAUCGCGGAUCAGCAUGCCGCGGUGAAUACGUUCCCGGGCCUUGUACACACCGCCCGUCACACCACGAGAGUUUGUAACACCCGAAGUCGGUGAGGUAACCUUUAGGAGCCAGCCGCCGA